rnacentral:rRNA from 1 species
GACGAACGCUGGCGGCGUGCCUAAUACAUGCAAGUAGAACGCACAGUUUAUACCGUAGCUUGCUACACCAUAGACUGUGAGUUGCGAACGGGUGAGUAACGCGUAGGUAACCUGCCUGGUAGCGGGGGAUAACUAUUGGAAACGAUAGCUAAUACCGCAUAAUAUUAAUUAUUGCAUGAUAAUUGAUUGAAAGAUGCAACUGCAUCACUACCAGAUGGACCUGCGUUGUAUUAGCUAGUAGGUGAGGUAACGGCUCACCUAGGCGACGAUACAUAGCCGACCUGAGAGAGUGAUCGGCCACACUGGGACUGAGACACGGCCCAGACUCCUACGGGAGGCAGCAGUAGGGAAUCUUCGGCAAUGGACGAAAGUCUGACCGAGCAACGCCGCGUGAGUGAAGAAGGUUUUCGGAUCGUAAAGCUCUGUUGUAAGAGAAGAAACGGGUGUGAGAGUGGAAAG